rnacentral:rRNA from 1 species
CGCGCAGGCGGUCUUGUCCGUCAGGUGUGAAAGCUCGGGGCUCAACCCCGGAAGUGCACUUGAAACAGCAAGACUUGAAUACGGGAGAGGAGAGAGGAAUUCCUGGUGUAGAGGUGAAAUUCGUAGAUAUCAGGAGGAACACCGAUGGCGAAGGCAUCUCUCUGGACCGAUAUUGACGCUGAGGCGCGAAGGCGUGGGUAGCGAACG